rnacentral:lncRNA from 1 species
CGUCAUUUCCGGCUCCGGCUGAGGCGCGCGGGCCACGCGUGGAGAGAGCGGCGCGAUGAGGCCGGGUUUCAGCCCCCGGGGUGGACGCGGCGGCUUCCGAGGCAGAGGUUCCGGUUUCCCGCCCCGUGGAGGGGGCGUGGCCCGCGGAGGGGGCGGAGCCAGAGGAGGAGGCGGAGCCCGAGGCGGCCCCCGUGGGCGUGGCCGAGGCCGAGGGGGCGGGGCCAGGGGCGGGGCCCGCGGCGGCUUCAAAGGCGGGAAAAAAGUGACGGUGGAGCCGCACCGGCAUGAGGGUAACUGGGGAUACUGGUUUGUACUGGGAGGGACUGGGAGGGAGCUGGGGAUACUGGUUUGUACUGGGAGGGACUGGGAGGGGAGCUGGGGAUACUGGGAGGGACUGGGAGGGACUGGGAGGGGAGCUGGGGAUACUGGGAGGGACUGGGAGGGGAGCUGGGGGAUACUGGUUUGGACUGGGAGGGUACCUGGGGAUACUGGUUUGUACUGGGAGGGUAACUGGGGAUGCUGGUUUGUACUGGGAGGGGAACUGGGGAUACUGGUUUGUACUGGGAGGGGCUGGGAGGGUACCUGGGGACUGGGAGGGACUGGGGAUACUGGUUUGUACUGGGAGGGACUGGGAGGGUACCUGGGGAUACUGGUUUGUACUGGGAGGGAACCUGGGGAUACUGGUUUGUACUGGGAGGGUACCUGGGGAUACUGGUUUGGACGGAGCUGAGGGUC